rnacentral:rRNA from 1 species
UACCAGCACCCCGAGUGGUCGGGACGAUUAUUGGGCCUAAAGCAUCCGUAGCCGGUUUUACAAGUCCUCCGUUAAAUCCAGCUGCUUAACAGAUGGGCUGCGGAGGAUACUAUGGAGCUAGGAGGCGGGAGAGGCAAGCGGUACUUAGUGGGUAGGGGUAAAAUCCGUUGAUCCAUUGAAGACACCAGUGGCGAAGGCGGCUUGCCAGAACGCACUCGACGGUGAGGGAUGAAAGCUGGGGGAGCAAACCGGG